CUAGUUGGUAAGGUAACGGCUUACCAAGGCUACGAUGGGUAGGGGUCCUGAGAGGGAGAUCCCCCACACCGGUACUGAGACACGGACCAGACUCCUACGGGAGGCAGCAGUGAGGAAUAUUGGACAAUGGGCGCAAGCCUGAUCCAGCCAUGCCGCGUGCAGGAUGACGGUCCUAUGGAUUGUAAACUGCUUUUAUACGAGAAGAAACACUACUUCGUGAAGUAGCUUGACGGUAUCGUAAGAAUAAGGAUCGGCUAACUCCGUGCCAGCAGCCGCGGUAAUACGGAGGAUCCAAGCGUUAUCCGGAAUCAUUGGGUUUAAAGGGUCCGUAGGCGGUUUAAUAAGUCAGUGGUGAAAGCCCAUCGCUCAACGGUGGAACGGCCAUUGAUACUGUUAGACUUGAAUUAUUAGGAAGUAACUAGAAUAUGUAGUGUAGCGGUGAAAUGCUUAGAGAUUACAUGGAAUACCAAUUGCGAAGGCAGGUUACUACUAAUGGAUUGACGCUGAUGGACGAAAGCGUGGGUAGCGAACAGGAUUAGAUACCCUGGUAGUCCACGCCGUAAACGAUGGAUACUAGCUGUUGGAAGCAAUUUCAGUGGCUAAGCGAAAGUGAUAAGUAUCCCACCUGGGGAGUACGUUCGCAAGAAUGAAACUCAAAGGAAUUGACG
rnacentral:rRNA from 1 species